UAAACUCUCACUCUCUCUCCCCUCAUUCUCCCUCAGUAGAACUUAAACCCUAAUUCCCACAAUUCUGUCCGCUGAAGAUUAAUUUUUUUGUUUUUGUGCGAUUUCCGGUGGAAAGGUAUUUCUGUAAUAAUGGUGAAGACGAAAUCAAGGAAGAUAGUAGAUGAUAGUGACAGCGAUUUGGGGUUUGAUGGAUUUGAGGAUAGAGUUACUCAUGUGGGUAAGAAGAAGAAAUCAAGGAAGAUGGUAGAUAGCGAUGACGACUCCCAGGAGGAUAAGAAUGCCGAUGAUCGUGAUGAAUAUGAUUAUGAUGAUGGC